GCGGGUCUGGACGGGGAAGGAGUGGCGUCCGUGUGCCGGGGCUCUGUGUCUCGGUAGAAUUCUGGAAUGGUUUGUGUUGGAAGGGCUCUUAAAGUUCAUCUUCUCCUGCCACGGGCAGGGACACCUUCCGCUAGAUCGGGUCGCUCCAAGCCUUGUCCAACGUGGCGUAGACACUUCCAGGGAUGGGGCAGAUACGGCUUCUCUGGGAAAUCCAUUCCAUCACCCUCACGGGGAAGAAGUUGCGUGGAAGCCAACCAGGUCAGUUUUGAGGAAGACAGCCAGAAUCCACCUGCUGUGGGACACUGGAAGCCCCUGAUGCCAUCCAAAGGUGACAAGGAGGAGGCAGAGAGUGGAUGCCAGGAUGCUGGAGGUGUGCAUGAACCCCAGUCCACGGAGCAGCUCAACAUGUCCCGGCUGCGCAGCUCCUCGGUGGAGAUCCGGGAGAAGGGCUCUGAGUUCCUCAGAGAUGAGCUGCACAAAGCACAGAAGGAGCUGAAGCUCAAGGACAAAGAAUGUGAGAGAUUGUCAAAAGUCAGGGAACAGCUGGAGCAGGAACUUGAGGAGUUAACAGCCAGCCUGUUUGAGGAAGCCCACAAGAUGGUGAGAGAAGCCAACACCAAACAGGCUGCGGCAGAGAAGCAGCUCAGGGAGGCCCGGGGCAAGAUUGACAUGCUGCAGGCGGAGGUGACAGCCCUGAAGACGCUGGUGAUCACAUCCACACCGUCCUCCCCCAACCGGGAGCUGCACCCUCAGCUGCAGAGCCCGUGCAAAGCCGGCUUCAGGAAGGGCCACGGGCGGAACAAGAGCACCAGCAGCGCCGUGGUGUCAGCUGCCAGCCAGAGCGCGGCUCCAGAGCCCGUCAGCCGCGAGUGCAGAGAGGUCGACUCCAUUUUAUUUGCCGAGUUCCAGGCCUGGAAGGAAUCUCCAACUUUGGACAAAUCCUGCUCCUUCCUGGACAGAAUUUACCGAGAAGAUGUAGGACCUUGUCUGGACUUCCCCAAGCAGGAGCUGUCGGAGCUGGUGCGAGUUGCUGUGGAGCAGAACACCCUCACUAUCGAGCCAGUGGCCUCCCAGACUGUCCCUGUGGGGAAGGUGGCAGCAGAAGAGUGUGGUGGCCCCAAGAAAUGUGCUCUGAGUGGCCUCCCCAGGACCUGCAAGCACCGGAUCAUGCUGGGGGAUUCUGGGAGUUACUACUACAUUUCCCCUUCCUGCAGGGCCAGGAUCACAGCAGUGUGCAACUUCUUCACCUACAUCCGCUAUAUCCAGCAAGGCCUGGUGAGGCAGGAUGUGGAGCUGAUGUACUGGGAGGUCAUGCGGCUCCGGAGGGAGAUGUCUCUGGCCAAACUUGGAUUUUAUCCCAGCGAGAUGUAAGCACAGCCCUGAGCCUGGAAGGAAACUGCUCCUGGAGGAAGGGCUUGGAGUGCAGUGCCUGUCUUGCUCCCUCCCACCUUCCCUCUGCCUGGAGCAAGGAGCAAGAGGCACAAGUUCCACCUUCAGCUGUCCCACUCCUCCAAGUGUGACUGGAAUGCAGCUGCCACGCUGCCCCUGGAGCUGGGCUGGCCCUGGCUGCUCCAGGAUGGCCAUCCAUGGACUCUGGAGUCUCCUAUAUGCAGUGUAUAUCCAUUUUUUUAAACUUUUUGUUUUUAUAUGCAGCCUGCUUUGGCAUAACCCAAGGCCAGGCCUGUGCAGGGUGGGAAUUCUGGACCUUCCUUGUGAGCCAGCCUGUCAGGACAGAUGCUGGCUGUCUGUUCCACUUCUUUAUUUGGGAUGGAGGGUGCUGUCCCCGAGGUCCUGCUGACCACAGCAGCCCUGAAAAUGCCAGCAGAGCACAAUAAUCUUGAACAGUUUGUUUCCAAGUACUUCCUUGUUCCUUUUCAAGGAGCCUGCGAGAGAAGCUUGUUGCCAGCAGAGUCACAAAGAGGGAUUUGUUCCUGUUUUUAGCUGGAUGUUUGGCACUGGGUUACGCAGGCUGGGGAAUGGCUGGAGCUGUGCACCUGGGGCCUCCAGCAGAAGAAAGGGAGAAGGGAAAUUCUCUAACUCCCAGCUGGCUGCAGGGUUCUUUCCCCCUGGACUAGGGAAUCUGCUGCAGUUGUCAGAGGCAGAUGCAGGACUCAGUGACAGUCCCUGGUGUGUCCCCCAUGAUGCCCCUAAACACAAACCUCACCCACAAACAAUCCUUGGAGCUGUUCCUGCUCUUGAGGGAGCUUUGGGCAGUCCUGUUCCCACUCUUCAGGAAGAACCCAUGUUCCCAGGUUGGUUCUUUGUGUCUCCAGGAGGAGCAUGCCCAGGCUGGGCAGUGCCAAAGCCCAGCAAUUCCUUCCCAGUGUUACAUCAGACCUGGAGGUGCCUGUCCACUGGGAAUCACAGCUUUUCCUGGGCUGCCAUUCCCUGGGGAGGGAAUCUCAGACCUCUUUGUGUGCACAUGAGGGAUGUGGCUGAGGUUCCUGCCUGGCCAAAAUGUGCUGGGAGGGGGGAUGUCACUGGAGCUGUAGGAAUGCACAGGCCUGACACAUCCUGAACUCAGACCCAGGUUUAUUAAAGCCAUGACAGUAUUUUGUAGCUAAUUUAGACUUUUUUUCAGUGACUCUGGAAUCAGCUCAGCCAUCACCCACCCUGGGGUUUUCACUUCUGACAGGGUUGUCACCCUGUCCCUCUGCCACCCUCGGCAAGAUGGUGCCCAUCCUCAGCUCCAGAAUUCCAUCCUCUCCUGAAGGAUGUUACAGUAGGAACUCGAUUUCACUUCCACUGAGCUGCUGGAUUUUGUCUAGGGGAGAGAGAAAUAACACAGCUUUAGAUUCUCCAGCUGUGGAUUCCAGGUCAGGUGAAUUCCACCCCUGGAAUUUCUCCUGGCAUCUCUUCCCCCUGUCCUUUUGAUCUCUCCAUGUCUUCCUGUGCCGUGAGCUGCUACACUGCACAAACGUUGCAGCACUGGGCAUGAGACGAUCUCUGUGGGUAAGGAGAUCCUUUGGUUUGUGGGAUAUUUUUUCCCCCUCGGUGUCACGUUGAAAAGCACUUUGAGAUGGAAGGAACUGGAGCAAUGCCUUGUCUUGCAUUUGGAAUGAAGCAGAGAGAACAAUUUGUGAAGGAAAAUGAAGUCACUCCGUUAGCCGCGGGAUGGUUGCACCCUGCUCUUUCAUAAAGGAAAAUAAACAUUUGCUAUUAACCUCUACAAGCCUGGUUGGAGCUGCUGGAGGAUUUGGGAUGCAAGAAAAAAGCCUACAUCCAGGAUGGGGUUUGGGAUGCUUUUAUUCAUCAGAGCAGGUGCCUGUUCUUCCCGAGGGAAGCUGAGGCUUCUCCUGCUCGGUUGUGUCUCCUUUAAUUUGCUGGCUUGAAGCACUGCACGGGUGCUGGGUAAUUGGAGGAUCUUCUUCCUUCCUCUUUCCUCAUUAGUCUCCCCCUUCUCCUCUCAGCAGGCAGAGGUUUUGGGUCGCUCUGGUUUCACUAAAACCCCUUGCUCUCCUCCCUGCUCAGCUCUGCACAUUAACAUGGAAGAUCUCCUCAUCCCCUCUGGGAGAUGACAGUGGGAGAGUUGUGUACAGAAAGGGAUUUAAUUUCGUUUUCUAUUAAAAAGCCGCGCAAGAAUCUGGUUGUGCAGCACAGUCAGGCAGCCACGAGAGGGCACAGGCAGCCCAGGCAGGGACUGUCCUCCCUCCCUCAUUCCCUCCCUCUCUUCCCUGGGAGAAUGGAGCAUCCUCAGGUCCCACCCGCUUCUGACCCUCCCUGCAGCCUCUUGACCGGAAAACAUUCCUUCCCUGUGCUGCUGGGAAAGGGAAUUGGGCAGCUGGAGAGUGCAAAGGAAAGGAAGGAUUUGGAUUUCUGUAAGGGAUGGCCAGCUGAGAGACUGGGCAUGUUUCGCUGUGUCUGGAUCUUUCAGUGUAAUGUCAGCAGGGACUGCUGUCAGAAACUUCCCUGUGACAUUGGUUCCUAAACUUGUAAUGAAUGAGAAGACAUCAUGUUCCCCAUUCCCAACCUUUUCCACCAGAACUUUACUGCUGGUUUUCCCCUCAUAAAUAACCAGAGUUUGAGCAGAGUUUCUGGUCCUCUGGUACCUCCAGUACCUCCUGCAAUCUUCUUGCAUCUAUUUGCUCCCACAAAGGGUCUGCCAGCCUAUCCUGGGCCGAAAUAAAGAGCUUCAAAGGGAUGGGAGUUCCAAAAUCUGCUUUAAUAGAUGUGUUUAACUUGCUUGAUUUUGUUUUCAUCCCUGUUUCCCUCGAGUUUGGGAGAGAAACGGGAUAUAUGGAUACUUGGAUGAUGGUGGAGGUUAGUGUUGUGCACAAUUAGGUGCUUUUAAGCAUUUGAAAACUAGUAUUUGAGAAAGUGAGAUUUAGACCAGAGAGAUUUGGUUGCUCCUGGCAGUUCCCUUUGUCUGCUGGCUGUGUCCUUUCCCUGCCUGUGGAAUUACUCCAGGUUUGCUCAGGGCUGUAAAUCAGGCUGUCUUUGCACAGCUGGUCAGGCUGUCCCCACACACCCACAGAGACAGAUGGUUCCUGUUGCCAGAAACCAACAAGUGAAUGAUUUUUUAGUUAUUAUUAUUAUUUGCUCCAGAUGCAAUCAAGGAAAAAUGUUGAAAAAAGAGAAGAUAAGCAGCUGGCUUCAGAAAAGUCAGGACUUUCCAAGCUUUCCUGACCUUCCUGUGGGAUGAAUCCACCAAAGCAGUGAGGAUGCCUGCAGAACACUCAACACUGGGCUAGCUAUGGGGAAAUUCCAGUCAUUUUGGACACUCAAGGAGCGUGGCCCUGCCAGGAAAAAGUCAGAUGUCCUGGCACAGCUCUCAGUGUGCACGUGGCACUCAGGGCCGGGGCUGGCCAGCUCUGCCAAGGCAACCCGUUCUUAAUAGGAGCAAAUCCCUGUGGUGCCACCAGUGCUGGGAGCCAGGAGGUCAGGUUUGCUGUUUAUCAUGUCAAUAUUCCCAUGUUUGUGCAAGGCUCGCUGGGCUGAGCUGCAAGGCUGACCUUAGCCAGGCUGAGAAGGCAGCUGGACUUUGUGCUGGUUUAUAUAACUUGAGAGAAUGUUUCACCUCCUUUGGGAGUGGAUUAGGAGCGAAAGGGAAUGUAAGGAAAAUGGGGCUCGGCCUAGUUGUGGGCUGGAUGUGAGGGGGAAAAGGGAAAAUGGCUUUGGAGUGGCCUUGAGAUGAAGAAGGAUGGAUUUGGAUGAGGUAUUGGGAAGAAAUCCUUCCCUGUAGGGCUGCUGAGGCCCUGGCACAGGGUGCCCAGAGAAGCUGUGGCUGUCCCUGCACCCCUGGAAGUGUUUCAGGCCAGGUUGGAUGGGGCUUGGAGCAGCCUGGGAUAUAGUGCACGGUGUUCCUGCCCAUGGCAGGGGUUUGGAAUUAGAUGAGCUUUGAAAUCCCUUCCAACCCAAACCAUUCUGGGAUUCUGUGAUAAAUCUGAGCUGCCAGUGGUGUCCUGGCUUAGGAGAUGAGAUGGCACUGGCUGGAAUGAUGAAGCAGAGGGACAGCAGGGAAAGCUUAGGAAGGAAAAGGUGCUCCUUAGCUUUUGUUUGGCUUAAUCUUGAAAUGAUUCCCAUUGUAGGAGAAAACAUCAGCUGCACAGGGAAAGCUGAGUCACUGGUACAAAUCUGGGUCCUUAGAAGUGAUUCCAGUGAUGGAAAAGCCAUUUGUGCAGGAGUCCCAAAACCAGCUCCCCAUGGGACUGUGCCAGAGAGGGCAGCUGGGAGAAGGAAGCUGAAGGUGGAGGUGUUCCCCAGCAAGCUUUGCAGUGCAAACCCCAGCACUCAGUCCUGUGCUGCUCACAGAGCUUCCAGGGAUGUCCAUGUCGGCACACAGAAUAUCCUCAGCUUUUUACUCUGCUAAUGCUUCCAGUUUCUGCUCCCUCGCUGGUUCUGGGGCUGCAGGCUGCCCUCUGGCAGAUGUAGCCAUGGGAUUGGCUCAAGGACAGCUCCCUGCCCUUAAUUCCCCUGGCUCACUGUGCUAAUUCUGCUCUGGUAAUCACCUUAGAGUCAAUUUAAGGUGCUUCACGCCAAUGGACACUUAUGUGGGUCACAACUCAGUGACACCUUCGCUCUUUCUGCAUCAGCACCUGCACAGAGGUGACUUGUCCCUUGCCUUUGGUGACCUUGCCCUUGGUCAGGCCACCAGUGCCACCUGGCAAAACCAGGAGAAAGGAGGGAAGCACCAGUCCAACCUUCCAUCAAACUGAGGACAGUGAUAAAUAACAUCUCAGGAGAGCUGGAGCAAUGUCUGAUGAUGCCCAUGGUGCUUUUGGGCAAGGGAAGUUUUGCAAUCACGCCAAAAUCCUGGCAGUUCUGGCACACAUUAGUCCUUAAUAGGAGAGGGAAACUGGGUUCCAAAUCUGAUUCAUUUCACAUUGGAAUGGUGUUUUUGUGGAGAAGACCUCGUGGGCUGCGUUUGAGUAGUGCCUGAACUAACUGAGUUGGGAAAAUCCAAACCCACAUUUUUCUGUUGUCAGCAGUUGGACAUCACUACUUUCUCCUCACUGUGCUGGUUUUAAAAGCCUGGAUUUACACACUCAAAAUACACAAAUGACUUAAACCUUCUCUCUUACUGCAGCACCUGGGACUGAUCCUUGUCCCAACACCACCGCAUCCAGGAGAGCUUCUCUGAAACCAUUUACUAAAUAUUCAAAAAGAGACCUUAAAAACAGUUUCUCUGUUUAGAGAGACAUUGCAGAAAGGAAAUUGCUUCUUAAUCUCUGUCCUCUGUUUUGUGUUCGAUUGAUUUGUGCACCAAGGGGCAGAGCAGGCACAACAUCUCUUUGCUUUUAAUUACUUAUUUAUUUUAUGCAGACAGAAACAUUCCCAGGGAAUGGUUUGGGCUGGAAGGGAUCUGUAAAGAUCAUCCAGCUCUGGACUUGCCCAGAAGCUCCUGCUGCACCAUUCAAGCCCAGACAGUGUGUUCCUGUGCAGUUGUUGAUUUUCUGCAGGGAUGUGGAAGGAGUCAUGGUGCUGGAAUGCUGCUGGAACACUGCGGCUUCACCAUUCCUUGCCCUCUAGUGCUGUUGGAUUCCGUUUCACUCGCAUACCUUCACCAAAUCAGGUGUUCAGUUUUAGCCCUCGGUGAGCUCCAGCGUGAUGGGGAGACAAGAAUGAGCAAGGCAUGGAACUGGAACUGGCAGCAGCGCUUUGGGUUCUGUUCACACUUUAUUUCCCCAUCGCCAGGGUGAUGUUGAAGCACAGGUUGUGCUGCUUUGUUCCAUUUGGAAUUGUGAGCGUGGUCUAAAGGUUUGUGGACUUGCAGAGGGUGAUAAUCUCAACUCUGAGUGAUUUACCUGGAGAUGCUGGACCAGGAACUGGCUGCAGCUGAGAAACCAACAGCAUCUUCAGCUCAGAAUCCAAACUUGCAGGUUUUAUCAGGCAUCUGUAAGCAAUAAGGGAACAAAACACACAGAGAAAGUGCAAUAUGGCUCCUAUAUUUUAUAAAAAAAACAACCACUGCUUAAUGAAGGCCAGGCUAAUUGAGGCCAAUUAAAUUAAUCAGGCAAGUGAAUCAGCCACACCCAUUCAAGGAGGAUGGGUGCAAUCACAGGCAAUUACUGUGAUUAAUCCUCUCAUUGUCCUCCCCACAGCCAGCACCUGGCCAAGAAGUUGGGGAGUUACCUAACUGUGCUCAGGAGGUGCUGCAGGCGAAGGUGGUGCUUCCAGAGUUUUAAAAACCUGUUGCAAGAAGGAAGCUCCCAAAUGUGGCUGCCCCAUCCCGGGAAGCGUUCAAGGCCAUCUUGGAGGGGAUGAAAACUGCACAUCUGAACACCAUGAAGCUGUUUCUCCCCAUCCUAAUGCCACACACAAAUUAUAUUGUGAAGAAGUUGCCUGAAACCUCUAGAACUGGGCCCCUGCAGAGAUGAGGGGGAGCAGCAGCAUUGAUCCUGGGAUGGUGAAGGCUAAUAAAGAAAUCCAUCUGUGCUAUUAAAGUCAAUGGUAUCAAAGUAAUGCCACUAAUUUUACCACAUGAAGUGGAAAAAGGACUUUCCACACUCACUGGCUAGCAGCUCCUCCAUAAAAAGCCCCAGGAAAACCAAGGGAAGCCAUAAUAAGCAAGUCUGAUCCAGGUCCUUUUUUAGUUUGCUUCCACAGUGUUCUUGGCUUGGGAUCUGAUUUUGAACUGCUAAAAAAAAAAACAGUUACAAGGCUAAAUCUGAAACUGGAGCUUGAAUCACUCUUGAUGUCAAAUCCUACUCUGACUCUUUACAAUUCUGAAUUUGACCAUGCUUUUGAUCUCAGAGCAAAACCUGGGUGGUGACAUUGCCACUCUAGAAAUGUCCCAACUUGCUUCGUUGGCAUCUCCAUGCCACCUGCUUGUAGGUUUGCAUGGCAGAAGGCACUCCAAGAGGGAACAAAUUCCCUGAGCACCACUGACUCUGGAACAAAACACAUAAAGCAUUUGUAUGGUCAACAAAUAGUUAUGAUUUUAUUGAGUCGUAGAAUACAUAAAGAAAAAAAUGUUCUUUUUGAGUUACUGGAUUUUUUUUUUUUUUAAGAAUUAAAAAAAAACCCAGGAGCUGUCCUAAAAGGAAUGUGGGUUUGCUGUUUUAACACUGGAAUGUUAGGGCUUUGUUAGGAAGGCUUUCUUGGGAAAGCAUCUACUAAAGAAAAGGAUGUCUUUGCCCUAAUGAAGACCUCAAAUCCAGCCAGAGAGCUCAGCCCCUGCAGCAGGGAAUGAUGCACAGGGGUCCUGAUGAGCCUCCCAAGCCCUAGUUCACUGAGCAGCUGGGAUCUAGACUCCUCAAAUCCAUGCUUGGAGGGAAAACUCCAAGGAAAGUCCCCUAGUUCCUACUGUGCCUCUCCCUGGAAACUGGGGGCAGUGAGUCCCUGCUGCCAGAGCUGUGGGAGGGGGGCUCAGUGUGAGAUCCAGCUCACUCCGAGGUGCCUGUGGAUGUCACCAGUCCCUGCCACCCCCUCUGAGCCCCAGCUCUGCCCUGUCCUGCCCUGUGUCUCCAGCACAGCCCUCCAGGCAGAUUCCAGCCAUGCUGGGAGAUCAUGGGACACCUGAUUCCAAAUUCCUCCUCUUUUACCCCUCAGUAUUUUUUCUCCCACUCUCAUGCAUCCCUUCCCAACUCCUGACCUUCCCAAACUUCUCCCAUCUCUCAUUCUCCUCCCAAAACACACCCAGAGCUUCUCUUUGCUGCAGUUUUUGCUUUUCUCUGGCAUCCUCGAUCAUCCUGGUCCUCCAG